AACGAACGCUGGCGGCAGGCCUAACACAUGCAAGUCGAGCGCGCCCUUCGGGGUGAGCGGCGGACGGGUGAGUAACGCGUGGGAACGUGCCCUUUUCUACGGAAUAGCCUCGGGAAACUGAGAGUAAUACCGUAUACGCCCUUUGGGGGAAAGAUUUAUCGGAAAAGGAUCGGCCCGCGUUGGAUUAGGUAGUUGGUGGGGUAAUGGCCUACCAAGCCGACGAUCCAUAGCUGGUUUGAGAGGAUGAUCAGCCACACUGGGACUGAGACACGGCCCAGACUCCUACGGGAGGCAGCAGUGGGGAAUCUUAGACAAUGGGGGCAACCCUGAUCUAGCCAUGCCGCGUGAGUGAUUAAGGCCUUAGGGUUGUAAAGCUCUUUCAGCUGGGAAGAUAAUGACGGUACCAGCAGAAGAAGCCCCGGCUAACUCCGUG
rnacentral:rRNA from 1 species